AGUGAACGCUGGCGGUAGGCCUAACACAUGCAAGUCGAACGGCAGCACAGUAAGAGCUUGCUCUUACGGGUGGCGAGUGGCGGACGGGUGAGGAAUACAUCGGAAUCUACUUUUUCGUGGGGGGUAACGGAGGGAAACUUACGCUAAUACCGCAUACGACCUACGGGUGGAAGCAGGGGAUCUUCGGACCUUGCGCGAUUGAAUGAGCCGAUGUCGGAUUAGCGAGUUGGCGGGGUAAAGGCCCACCAAGGCGACGAUCCGUAGCUGGUCUGAGAGGAUGAUCAGCCACACUGGAACUGAGACACGGUCCAGACUCCUACGGGAGGCAGCAGUGGGGAAUAUUGGACAAUGGGCGCAAGCCUGAUCCAGCCAUACCGCGUGGGUGAAGAAGGCCUUCGGGUUGUAAAGCCCUUUUGUUGGGAAAGAAAAGCAGCAGGUUAAUACCCCGCUGUUCUGACGGUACCCAAAGAAUAAGCACCGGCUAACUUCGUG
rnacentral:rRNA from 1 species